ensembl:lncRNA
AUGAAGCCACGCCCCCUCAUCAUCUGUUUCUCCAAUCCCUCUCCAAUUUCCCUUCUCAAAUAACUACAUCCCCUUUCUCAUUGUAGGUCCUUUUGCUUUUGAUGUUUCAUCCACACCACAGCCUCCAUGGGCAGCCACACAAAACCCAGAAUGAAGAAAUUAAACAAAAUGAAAUGACCAGAUUGAAGAUUACAGCCAGGCAGGUGAACGGAGAGGAGGACGGAGAGGUGACGAAAAGACGAGGAAGGAAGGAUGCAAUCGCAUGACAUCACGAAACCGGGGUUUAAUUGUGAAGCACAGGACAGGGGAGACAUCCGAUGACACUGGUGAACAUGGAACAUAACUUCAAAGACCUGACGGUGAACAGAAACGAACAGGGCAGCUUUCUACAUUUUACACAGGGGUCACCACAUCGGAUCAAAUGGUCUGGUUGUCCACAUAAGAGAUGCGGCAAACCUUUUACACCAGAUGCCCGUCCUGAUUUCGGGUCUAGUGGGAGGAAGAAGAUAAGCAUUCACAACACAGGGAGUGUAAAAGAUAGACACGUAAUGCAGUUCGUAUGAGAACAUUCAAGAAACCGGGUGGAGGGACUAAACUUGCAGGUAGAGAAAAUUGCAUCUCUCAGGCACUGACUUGGGAGUGACUUGGCAUUCCGACAACAUCGCCUCCAGAGGGACUGAACUCCAGAAUCAAAGUGCUACCGCCUCAAUUAGACAUAAUUGGACACAUCGUUAUCCUGCUUCUGGCUCACUCGCUCCUUCAGAAUGAGCCGUGAGUGUCGGAGUGAUUCUUGGGAUUUCAGCCUUUGAUGACUCCCAUUAGCUCUUCAAACACAUUUUGGCACCGAGUGUUGGAGGGCGACGCGGUGUAGAGGGAUAGUGGCGUCUUGGAGAAAACUCGGUGACAAGCGGGCAAAUUGGACGCAUGUGUAAAUGUGCGGAUGUACGACUGUGUGCAGAGAGAUCAUUAAGGACGCGCUUUUCCAUAAACUGAUUUUUGAUCAGAUUCACAAUAUGCGCCUUUACAACUUUUUUUAUAUUCUGAAGUCUUGACAAGCUAAUUGUACCUGUUAUCAGUAAAUGUCAUGGUCCCUGUGCCAUAGCCACACCCCCAUGGGGUGCCGGACGAAUCCCGAAAAACCAAAACCUGGAAGUAGAAGAGACCAGGGUCAACGAGGGUAAUAAAGGCUGACCACCAUCUUGAAUCCA